UUGGUGAGGUAAUGGCUCACCAAGGCGACGACGGGUAGCCGGCCUGAGAGGGCGACCGGCCACACUGGGACUGAGACACGGCCCAGACUCCUACGGGAGGCAGCAGUGGGGAAUAUUGCACAAUGGGCGAAAGCCUGAUGCAGCGACGCCGCGUGAGGGAUGACGGCCUUCGGGUUGUAAACCUCCUUCAGCAGGGAAGAAGCGAAAGUGACGGUACCUGCAGAAGAAGCGCCGGCUAACUACGUGCCAGCAGCCGCGGUAAUACGUAGGGCGCAAGCGUUGUCCGGAAUUAUUGGGCGUAAAGAGCUCGUAGGCGGUCUGUCGCGUCGGAUGUGAAAGCCCGGGGCUUAACCCCGGGUCUGCAUUCGAUACGGGCUAGCUAGAGUGUGGUAGGGGAGAUCGGAAUUCCUGGUGUAGCGGUGAAAUGCGCAGAUAUCAGGAGGAACACCGGUGGCGAAGGCGGAUCUCUGGGCCAUUACUGACGCUGAGGAGCGAAAGCGUGGGGAGCGAACAGGAUUAGAUACCCUGGUAGUCCACGCCGUAAACGGUGGGAACUAGGUGUUGGCGACAUUCCACGUCGUCGGUGCCGCAGCUAACGCAUUAAGUUCCCCGCCUGGGGAGUACGG
rnacentral:rRNA from 1 species